rnacentral:rRNA from 1 species
UACAGAGGGUGCAAGCGUUGUUCGGAAUUACUGGGCGUAAAGGGCGCGUAGGCGGCUUUUCAAGUCGGGCGUGAAAUCUCCGGGCUUAACCCGGAAGGGUCGUUCGAUACUGUUGAGCUAGAGUGUGGAAGAGGCAACUAGAAUUCCGUGUGUAGCGGUGAAAUGCGUAGAUAUACGGAGGAAUACCUGAGGCGAAGGCGGGUUGCUGGGCCAACACUGACGCUGAGGCGCGAAAGCCAGGGGAGCAAACGGG